AUUUUAUAUUAACAUACAGAUGUAUGUAUUUUAGUUGCAUUUUUUUUCUUAAAAUGUUAUUUUUUCUCUUUUUCUUUUAUGUCAGGUGAUGAUAGAGCCCCUAGGGAAGCAAAACUGUCCAUGCCCUUGCCUUAACUUUCAGAUACGAUAAAAACAACAUUUAUAAAAUACCUGUCUUAGAAAUAUUAGCUAAAAUUAUGUUGGGGAAAGUAUGUUUGAAAAUAGAAUUGUAAGCUACCACAUUGUGAUAAAUAUUACUAAAUUUGUUUAUUGACUUGUCAGGAAGCAAAAGAAUGAAUUAAAGAAAACUCCAGAGAAUGAGCUGACAACCUACUCCCUGGUCAGUGGCUCUCCAUGCCUACCUGUGGUCUCUUGGACACCCUUGCAGAUGACUUCCUGGGAACUCUUCUGGGAGUGAAUGUUAUCAGCAAAUUCCCAAAACAACACCCCUUAGACAAAAAGCCUCCUCACCUAUGCAUUGCCUAGACCACCCACUAAAGGUGAUGGCCACAAAGAGGUGGAUUUGUUGAGUUGGUGCCAUUCCUUCUACUGCCAGCUUCACCAAAACAAUGACACAGUCUUCCUUCCGCAUGGAGACUCUUCUCUUUCCUGUGUUGCAGUGGAUGCCUCCUGCAGAUAAGAAAUGCUUAACUGAGAAAUGCUCAUGUUGGGAUAUCAUCGAUGAGACUUUAAUUUGGGCAUGGUGACUGUUUCCCUUGCUGCCACUUGACUCAAUCCCAGGAGCCUCAGUAGAGGAUAUAAUAUUACACAAGAUGCUCAAAAUGGUGGAAUUGCUCAGUGCUCCCAUAAAUAUACAUUUAUAAUUUUCAUUUGCCACAUGGUAAACUGAAAAAUACAGACUAUAUUAAAAAGAAACUGCAUGAUUUUUUUUCAAAAAUUCAAAGCAUAUUUAAAUAAUAUAUAAAUUAAAUGCCCUCCUCUCUUCCAAUUCUGUCCCUAUAGUUUUCCUCUAUUAAGUGAACUACAUGCAUUCUUUUAGUGGAUAGAUGCACACAAACACACAAGCCAUUAUGGGGAAGGAUCCACGUGUGUGGCCAUAUUGUAACACAUUUUUCUGCAAAUCACCUCUUUCAUUUAACAGCCCUUAUUCAAUGGCCUUUUUCUUUUUCAGUAGUACAUACACAUCUGUGUCAUUUGUUGAAUGACGACAUGAAUGUUUUGUAGAUAAAAUAUAAUUAAAUGUUUUAAGCAUUUCUCACUCAUAGAUAUUUAUGUUAGCACCAAAUUUCUGUGCAAUGAACCUCCCUAUAUAUCAGUAAUUUUGCAUUUGUCUAUAAUAUCAUAAUAAAUUACUUAUCAGUUGAAUUACUGGGAUUAAGUAUGUGCACACUUUAUAUUUAUAUUUUGAAAAUUAUUGCAAGAUUGCCUUCAAAAAUGUGGUUAACAACUUUAUCUUCAAAUGGCAAUGAAUGAGAUUGCCAGCUUUCCUACAGCCUCACAGACAAUGGAUUUUAUAAAUAUUUAACAUUUUUGCCAAUGUGAUCACCCAAACUAUUGUCUUAAAUUGUAUCUCUUUUGUUUUUGAGUUUGGUCAUUUUUUCAUGUUUAUUAGCCAUCUGUAUUUUUUAAUUUCUUCUUUAUGUCCAAUUUUGUGGGUGGGAGGAGGAUUUAGUCUCUUCCUGAUUUCGAAGAGCUCAUUUACUAUUUCGGGAAAUAAGAUUUGGAUUGUCAACCAUUAUAGCUAUUUUUUACACACUUUUCAACUUUGUUUUUGUUAUAAGAAUGUGUAUGAUUGUUACAUGUCCAAGUAUAACCAUGUUCGCUUUUAUGGCUUCUGAGUUUCAUGUCAUUUUUGGAAAGAUAUAUAUAUUGAGUCCAUAAAACCCUUCACCUAUGUUAAAUUCUAAUUCUUUUGUGUUUUUUUAAUUCAAAUUCUUAAAUCAUGAGAAAUUUUUUUGUUUUGAAAUCUUAAAGUUGCCAAGUUACUUGCCAUUACUUGCGAUUAUUUGCCAAUAAUUGCCCAUUUAUCUGUACCGCCAUCUUGCGCAUAUGCUGUACUCUCAUCUGUGACUGGCUCCAUUUUUGUUCUGUGGAUUUGUGUGUCUCUUCUUCUGCCUCCUGUCUCGUGUCUGCUCGUUGGAAGAAAUUACAGUUUAGACUGCAAUUUCAUCAACUUUAAUAAAUCAAUUGAGGGGAGAAUUGGUUUUUAAAAAUAUUAAGUAAGUCUUCGUAUCCAAGGACAAGGUAUGUCUUUUCUUAUUCAAUAAUUUUAAUUACUGUUAAUAUUUUCACUGUGGUGAUGGGAGUUUUUCUUUUAAUUUAUUUUCUUGUUCAUUUUUUGUAUCUAAAGUUUUUGUUUUGUUUUGUUUUGGGGGUAAGUUGUCACCUUACUGUUU
rnacentral:lncRNA from 10 species